UUAUUCACAGCGACCAAUAGUAAUUUCAUCGCAGCUGGUAAACCCUGCCUAUAUUUCCCCUCUGUGCCCAUCUUUCCCCUCCCAUUUUCUAUGAAUCUUUUAUAGCCAUCUCCUGUCCAGUAUAGAGGAGGUACAUCCUCCACAGCACAGCCUGUCAGCUGUGUUUUAUUAGAGGGCUGAAAUACUGCUGAAUCAGAGGUUCCACCUCUCCUCCCUCUUUAACAAUCAACUCUGUACGUGUGUAUGCAUGCAUUCCUGUGUGUGUGUCUGUGUGUGCACGACUGCGUGWMUUCRGUUUUCAGAAAUAAUGCAACAUGUCAUGCGUAACCUCCUUUAAGAGGGUAGCCGUACAUGAGAAUGACUGUAGCAUGCAGUACAGCACCUGACUGGAUCUCAGCUAGUGUUGUAGGGGAGCAUGCUGCCUAUUGUGUUGUCACACUGGUCUAGGUGAAUCAAAAUCUAAUCACUCUGUGUCCCAGGUCAGGGUCUUAAAUCACUCACACAGGCUAAGUGCACCUUCCUAAAUCUGUCAUUAAGAGAGAGGGAGUUUCUAAGAGUCCAAAGGCAAUUUCUCUGAUUGGCCGGAUGAGUCAUUGCACCUAUUUGCCCUGCCUUCAACGUCUCUCAUUGGUCGUGCAGUUUUACAGCUGCCUCCCAUUGGGCCAGUAGGAGAGAUUGGGCUGGGUCUUACUCUUGUUCUCUGUGUUUGAGUGUAUGUGGAUGGGUAAGACACUCUCUCUCCCAUCCUGGGAGUAACUGCUUGUGUUAGUUCCUUUCUGUAGGCUGUGUGAGUGUGUGUUUGGGUGUGUGUGUGAGAGGGAGAGAAAGGGAGAGAGUAGCGCUUACGUUUCACCUCCCUGUCUCCCUGUUCCCUGUCCUUCCUCUCCUCUCUACUCCUCUCUCGUUCCCUCUCCUGGACUACUCCAUUGGGACCUACCCAGACUCCUUCCCUGCCUGGACCCUCUACUCUCCAUCCCUGUGACUCUCCUCAUCUGUCCAUCCCUCCCUCUCCCAGGUCAAGUCUCCGGGUGGAUCAGAAGUGGAGAGGUGGAGUCUUCCAUGUUAUUCUGGAAUGUGGGAUAAGACAGGGUCCCAUGACAUGGACCCCUCUUUGAAUGGGUUGAUGCUGGUUCUGCUGGAGCUGAUGAUCUGAACCAGUCUGUCAGCCACCUAGCUCCCCCUCCUCUAAACACAACCACUGCCCAUGUCCUGAUCCCAGUGGUCCAGCUUGUCUGUGGUAAGUCCCUCCUUACCCCUCCCCUGCCCUCCCUCUCCUGCCUUCCCUCCCCUGCCCUGCCCACUCCUCUUUAGUUUUUUUCUAUUAAAAGCACAUUAAGUCUAUGCUUAACUAAAGACGUCCAGUGCAGUCCAUAGGCCUAUACCCAAGGCCUAUACCCAAGGCCUAUACCCAAGGCCUACACCCAAGGCAUAUACUCAAGGGGUACACCCAAGGCCUAUACCCAAGGCCUAUACCCAAGGCGUACACCCAAGGGCUAUACCCAAGGCCUAUACCCAAGGCCUACAGCCAAGGCCUACGCCCAAGGCCUACACCCAAGGCCUAUACCCAAGGCCUAUACCCAAGGCCUACAGCCAAGGCC
rnacentral:lncRNA from 1 species